CCCAAAGUGUCAAAGUUGGUAAAUGGCAGAGCUGGAAUUCAAAGAGUCUGAUUCCAAAGUCUAUAUAGUCCGGCGUGAUCAUUAAAGGAAUUCCUUGUGUUCAAAGAGCAGUGCUUGAAAACCAAGCUCAUUUGUGCCUGCAGAAAUGCCAGCCUCUGGGGUAGAAGAAAUGUCAUACUUUGAUCAUCUUCCACACUGCUCUGGGCAUACUCCGUCACAAACUACGUUGUGUGAAUCUGAGGACUGCUUUAGAAAUGAGUUCCCAAAUUGCUCAAGAAAUAGUUCAGGCUGUAAUUCUGAAAAGCCUUCUGCUCACUCAGGUCCAGUGAUCACCUCUGAGGAGUGAGAUUAGAGCAGCGAAGAGACUUUCAAUUCUUACUUUAUACACUUCUGUAUUGUUUGAACCUGAAGGACUUGAAAGAGAACCAAAAGGAGGGGUAGCAUUCCCAGCAGCUAGCACUUUCAUCCAAUGCCAGGGCUUUCAUUGGCCAAAUUAUUUUCAAAGAUACUGCCUGACCGAAGCACUUCUGCAAUAA
rnacentral:lncRNA from 1 species